rnacentral:lncRNA from 1 species
CUUCAAAUAUUAAUUACUGAACCUCAAAUAUUAUUGUUAAGUUUUAGAAAAAAACUUAAAAAUACCAUCUAAAUAGUUUCACACUUUCUCACUUUAAUAUCACGUAGUUUAAAAAUAUAUUAAUUUAGUGCCAUAUAAUUUUAUUUUUAUUUUUUUAUUAUUGAUUUUACUAAAUUUUUUAUUAAAUUAGUGAUAAAGUUAAAACUAAAGAAUACUAAAGUGAAUAUGGUUUUAUUUUUAGUGUCAUAUGGUUUUAUUUUUAUUUUUUUAUUAUCGAUUCCACUAAUUUUUUUUGUUAAAUUAGUGAUAAAGUUAAAACUAAAGAAUACUAAAGUGAAUAUUCGAUAAACCUAAAUGGGGUACAUGAAGUUUUUUGUGUAUAGUUUAACGAAAUAUUAACGAAAAAGCUGACAAAAAGAAAAAAAAAAAUGAAACUACUUGACACUAACUUGAUACACUUUAAACCACAUGACAUUAAAAUGAUAAAAUACGGAACCACAGGGGUGGUAUUUGAAGUUUACCUAAUAUUUUUAAUUUUUAAAUUAGU